rnacentral:rRNA from 1 species
GGGACUAGCUCAGGAUGUGAAUCUGCGCUGUAUGGCGCCGAAUUGUGGUCUAUAGACUUUGACGUUAUCUGCCGGGCCAAGUUCCUUGGAAAAGGACAGCUGAGAGGGUGAGACUCCCGUCCGCCUGGUAGAGUGAGUCGUUGUCAACGAGUCGAGUUGUUUGGGAUUGCAGCUCUAAUUUGGUGGUAAAUUCCAUCUAAAGCUAAAUAUUGGUGGGAGACCGAUAGCGUACAAGUACCGUGAGGGAAAGAUGCAAAGAACUUUGAAAAGAGAGUUAAAGAGUACCUGAAAUUGCUGAAACGGAAGCGAAGGAAACCAGUGUUUGUUGGUUCAUAUUUCCCUGGCCACUUGUGGUUUGGGCGCUGUGAGCUUGCGUGGGUUUGCUUUGGUUGAUCCCUUUGGAAGAGCGCAGUCAGAGUUGAUGUCUGUUGCUAGCACUGGGUUUGACUAAUGCAGACGAAAUGGUUUUCUUUACCCCGUCUUGAAACACGGACCAAGGAGUCUAACAUAUGUGCGAGUACAGGGGUGUCAAACCCCGGUGCGUAAUGAAAGUGACAGUGGUUGGAUAUUUGCACAAUCCGCCGGCCUCAAUCCUUCGGGAGAACGGUCUGAGUGUGAGCAUACAUGUUGGGACCCGAAAGAUGGUGAACUAUG